rnacentral:pre_miRNA from 1 species
UAAAGCAAGCCCUUGACCCCCUUCCCUUUCGUUAUGUAUGUAUGUAUGUAUGUAUAACGAAAGGGAAGGGGUCAAGGGCUCGCUUUA